UACGUAGGGUGCGAGCGUUGUCCGGAAUUACUGGGCGUAAAGAGCUCGUAGGUGGUUUGUCGCGUUGUUUCGUGAAAACUCACAGCUCAACUGUGGGCGUGCGGGCGAUACGGGCAGACUGGAGUACUGCAGGGGAGACUGGAAUUCCUGGUGUAGCGGUGAAAUGCGCAGAUAUCAGGAGAACACCGGUGGCGAAGGCGGGCUCU
rnacentral:rRNA from 1 species